GAUGAAGAACGCAGCGAAAUGCGAUACGUAAUGUGAAUUGCAGAAUUCAGUGAAUCAUCGAGUCUUUGAACGCACAUUGCGCCCCCUGGUAUUCCGGGGGGCAUGCCUGUCCGAGCGUCAUUGCUGCCCAUCAAGCACGGCUUGUGUGUUGGGUCGUCGUCCCCUCUCCGGGGGGGACGGGCCCCAAAGGCAGCGGCGGCACCGCGUCCGAUCCUCGAGCGUAUGGGGCUUUGUCACCCGCUCUGUAGGCCCGGCCGGCGCUUGCCGAACGCAAAACAACCAUUUUUUCCAGGUUGACCUCGGAUCAGGUAGGGAUACCCGCUGAACUUAAGCAUAUCAAUAAGCGGAGGA
rnacentral:misc_RNA from 1 species